UACGAAGGGGGCUAGCGUUGCUCGGAAUUACUGGGCGUAAAGGGAGCGUAGGUGGACAGUUUAGUCAGAGGUGAAAGCCCAGGGCUCAACCUUGGAAUUGCCUUUGAUACUGGCUGUCUUGAGUACGGAAGAGGUAUGUGGAACUCCGAGUGUAGAGGUGAAAUUCGUAGAUAUUCGGAAGAACACCAGUGGCGAAGGCGACAUACUGGUCCGUUACUGACACUGAGGCUCGAAAGCGUGGGGAG
rnacentral:rRNA from 1 species